UACGAAGGGGGCUAGCGUUGUUCGGAAUCACUGGGCGUAAAGGGCGCGUAGGCGGCUUUAUAAGUCGGGGGUGAAAGCCUGUGGCUCAACCACAGAAUUGCCCUUCGAUACUGUAGAGCUUGAGACCGGAAGAGGUAAGUGGAACUGCGAGUGUAGAGGUGAAAUUCGUAGAUAUUCGCAAGAACACCAGUGGCGAAGGCGGCUUACUGGUCCGGUUCUGACGCUGAGGCGCGAAAGCGUGGGGAGCAAACAGG
rnacentral:rRNA from 1 species